rnacentral:rRNA from 1 species
GGGUGCGGUCAUACCAGCAUUAAUGCACCGGAUCCCAUCAGAUUUCCGAAGUUAAGCGUGCUUGGGCAAGAGUAGUACUAGGAUGGGUGACCUCCUGGGAAGUCCUUGUGUCGCACCCCUUU